AACAAAUAAAACAUUUGAUAUAUGAAAUACAAACACUAAUAAAAACACUAACAAUUCAGAAUCACAAAAUAAUAUUACACUGGAUCCCAGCACAUAAAGGCAUAAAAGGUAACGAAAUUGCAGAUUUAGCAGCAAAAAAAGCUCACAACACGAUGAAUCCCAUGAACAUACCUCAUGACACUGGAAAUAUCAUAAAAGAAAUUAAAACAAGCAGUCAAAAGAACUGGGAGAAUGACCUAAAUAACAUUCUAAUCACAAAAGACUAUUUAAUAAAAAACAACCAACCACAACCGUGGACAAGAUCAAAAAACAGGAAGUUAGAUGCUCAGAUCUACCACCAACUAAAAGGUACUACAUUUUGAGACACAUGAAGAUAUUUUUACAGCGAACAAAGAUAACUGACUACAUAUAAGCUACAAAGAAAAUCAGAAGAAAAG